AGUGAACGCUGGCGGUAGGCCUAACACAUGCAAGUCGAACGGCAGCACAGUAAGAGCUUGCUCUUACGGGUGGUGAGUGGCGGACGGGUGAGGAAUACAUCGGAAUCUACUUUUUCGUGGGGGAUAACGUAGGGAAACUUACGCUAAUACCGCAUACGACCUACGGGUGAAAGCAGGGGAUCUUCGGACCUUGCGCGAUUGAAUGAGCCGAUGUCGGAUUAGCUAGUUGGCGGGGUAAAGGCCCACCAAGGCGACGAUCCGUAGCUGGUCUGAGAGGAUGAUCAGCCACACUGGAACUGAGACACGGUCCAGACUCCUACGGGAGGCAGCAGUGGGGAAUAUUGGACAGUGGGCGCAAGCCUGAUCCAGCCAUACCGCGUGGGUGAAGAAGGCCUUCGGGUUGUAAAGCCCUUUUGUUGGGAAAGAAAAGCAGCAGGUUAAUACCCCGCUGUUCUGACGGUACCCAAAGAAUAAGCACCGGCUAACUUCGUG
rnacentral:rRNA from 1 species